rnacentral:rRNA from 1 species
UACGUAGGGCGCAAGCGUUGUCCGGAAUUAUUGGGCGUAAAGAGCUCGUAGGCGGCUUGUCACGUCGGGUGUGAAAGCCCGGGGCUUAACCCCGGGUCUGCAUCCGAUACGGGCUAGCUAGAGUGUGGUAGGGGAGAUCGGAAUUCCUGGUGUAGCGGUGAAAUGCGCAGAUAUCAGGAGGAACACCGAUGGCGAAGGCAGGUCUCUGGGCAUUAACUGACGCUGAGGAGCGAAAGCAUGGGGAGCGAACAGG